AGUGAACGCUGGCGGUAGGCCUAACACAUGCAAGUCGAACGGCAGCACAGUAAGAGCUUGCUCUUACGGGUGGCGAGUGGCGGACGGGUGAGGAAUACAUCGGAAUCUACUUUUUCGUGGGGGAUAACGUAGGGAAACUUACGCUAAUACCGCAUACGACCUACGGGUGAAAGCAGGGGAUCUUCGGACCUUGCGCGAUUGAAUGAGCCGAUGUCGGAUUAGCUAGUUGGCGGGGUAAAGGCCCGCCAAGGCGACGAUCCGUAGCUGGUCUGAGAGGAUGAUCAGCCACACUGGAACUGGGACACGGUCCAGACUCCUACGGGAGGCAGCAGUGGGGAAUAUUGGACAAUGGGCGCAAGCCUGAUCCAGCCAUACCGCGUGGGUGAAGAAGGCCUUCGGGUUGUAAAGCCCUUUUGUUGGGAAAGAAAAGCAGCAGGUUAAUACCCCGCUGUUCUGACGGUACCCAAAGAAUAAGCACCGGCUAACUUCGUG
rnacentral:rRNA from 1 species